UGCUAGUUGUACGGGCUUAGACUCGUUGCGGAAAGCUCAGUAACACGUGGACAAACUACCCUACGGAGAGCCAUAACCUCGGGAAACUGAGGCUAAUAGUUCAUAGGGGAGUCGCGCUGGAAGUGCCGACUCUCCCAAACGCUCCGGCGCCGUAGGAUGUGUCUGCGGCCGAUUAGGUAGACGGUGGGGUAACGGCCCACCGUGCCGAUAAUCGGUACGGGUUGUGAGAGCAAGAGCCCGGAGACGGAAUCUGAGACAAGAUUCCGGGCCCUACGGGGCGCAGCAGGCGCGAAACCUUUACACUGUACGCAAGUGCGAUAAGGGGACCCCAAGUGCGAGGGCAUAUAGUCCUCGCUUUUCCCGACUGUAAGGCGGUCGGGGAAUAAGAGCUGGGCAAGACCGGUGCCAGCCGCCGCGGUAAUACCGGCAGCUCAAGUGAUGACCGAUAUUAUUGGGCCUAAAGCGUCCGUAGCCGGCCACGAAGGUCUAUCGGGAAAUCCGCCAGCUUAACUGGCGGGCGUCCGGUAGAAACCACGUGGCUUGGGACCGGAAGGCUCGAGGGGUACGUCCGGGGUAGGAGUGAAAUCCUGUAAUCCUGGACGGACCACCGAUGGCGAAAGCACCUCGAGAAGACGGAUCCGACGGUGAGGGACGAAAGCUAGGGUCUCGAACCGGAUUAGAUACCCGGGUAGUCCUAGCUGUAAACGAUGCUCGCUAGGUGUGGCACAGGCUACGAGCCUGUGCUGUGCCGUAGGGAAGCCGAGAAGCGAGCCGCCUGGGAAGUACGUCCGCAAGGAUGAACUUAA
rnacentral:rRNA from 1 species